GGGUCAGUAGGUUGGUCGUGCCACCGGUACGUACUGGUCUCACUGAUUCCUCCUUCCUGAAGAACCGUAAUGCCAUUAAUUUGGUGUUGCGGGGAAACAGGACUGUUACUUUGAAAAAAUUAGAGUGUUUAAAGCAAGCUAACGCUUGAAUACAUUAGCAUGGAAUAAUGAAAUAGGACGAUCGAUCCUAUUUUGUUGGCUUCUAGAAUUGACGUA
rnacentral:rRNA from 1 species